rnacentral:rRNA from 1 species
UCAAGAAACUUCCACAAUGGACGAAAGUCUGAUGGAGCGACGCCGCGUGAUUGAUGAAGUCCUUCGGGACGUAAAGAUCUUUUAUGGGGGAGGAAGUAAUUGACGUUACCCCAUGAAUAAGAGGCUCCUAACUCUGUGCCAGCAGGAGCGGUAAUACAGAGGCCUCAAGCGUUACCCGGAAUCACUGGGCGUAAAGGGUGUGUAGGCGGUCGUGUUAGUCUUUCGUUAAAGCACCUGGGCUUAACCCAGGUAAUGCGAGGGAAACGGCACGACUUCGAGGAUGUGAGAGGUGUACAGAACUCAUGGUGUAGGGGUGAAAUCCGUUGAUAUCAUGGGGAAUACCAAAUGCGAAGGCAGUACACUGGCACACUCCUGACGCUGAAACACGAAAGCGUAGGUAGCGAACGGGAUUAGAUACCCCCGUAGUCC